rnacentral:misc_RNA from 1 species
GUGAAUCAUCAAAUCUUUGAACGCAAAUUGCACUUUCUGGUAUUCCGGAAAGCAUGCCUGUUUGAGGGUCAUUUAAAUCAAAAUCGGUCUUGUUGCUGCUUUUCGUUUUGACGCUGCGGAAUUGAGUUGUCUUACCUUCGGUUAAGUGACUUACAAGUUUGCAUGAGUUUCCAACUUAUUUAAAUUUCUUACGUACGUUUGAGAUAUCGAAUACUUUAUUAGGUUCGGUCAUCCUCAUUUUUCGC